rnacentral:rRNA from 1 species
AGAGUUUGAUCAUGGCUCAGGAUGAACGCUAGCUACAGGCUUAACACAUGCAAGUCGAGGGGAAACGACAUCGAAAGCUUGCUUUUGAUGGGCGUCGACCGGCGCACGGGUGAGUAACGCGUAUCCAACCUGCCCACCACUUGGGGAUAACCUUGCGAAAGUAAGACUAAUACCCAAUGAUAUCUCUAGAAGACAUCUGAAAGAGAUUAAAGAUUUAUCGGUGAUGGAUGGGGAUGCGUCUGAUUAGCUUGUUGGCGGGGUAACGGGCCCACCAAGGCUACGAUCAGUAGGGGUUCUGGAGAGGAAGGUCCCCCACAUUGGAACUGAGACACGGUCCAAACUCCUAGGAGGCA